AUGAGGUAUGCCUGCAGUUCUUGCUGUAUCGAGUUACCUCCAAGUUGUAACACACUCCUCGACAUGACACCUUUCAGCAUGUUCAGACCUGGGGGAACUGUGCUAACGAUGACAUCUACCUGCAACAGGUGUACAUAUGAUGCUUUUGCGAUUUCUCCAGAGAUGAUUCUGAUCGUCGGGCGCGAUUUGUGUUGGAGCUGUCUGCCCUGGGGUGGAGAUGAACCUGUGAUAUGAGCGAGUUGCCCGGCAUUUUAGUUUUGAAGCAAGAUCCUGUAAAAUUUUGACAAGAAAAUGUCUUUGAUGACACACGUCCAACGUUUUUCAAAACUCAAAGAAAAACUGUGAAUUUUGGCCACAUAUCAAACAUAACCUAUACUGAACUUGUUCAUGUUCAGUAACCCGUUUGUGACAUCACCCACAAGCUUUAAACUUGAGAUCUAGAGUUAAGCCAUUUCGAGCA